CACUAUGGCAUGGAAUGCAAACUCUCCCUCAGAAGAUAAGCAGGAAUGGUCUUGGUUCGUCCUUGGAUGGGUGACUAUGUGGGAAUUCCAAAUGCUGUAGGCU
rnacentral:rRNA from 1 species